ensembl:lncRNA
GUGAGUCGGAACGGGAGCGUCAAUAAAAGCUACGGGGGGAACUGGGCGCGAGGAGAACCGUGCAUCUUCAGAGAAGGCACAGAGCUUUGGGAAGGGGGUAUCGCGUGGAGAGGCAGGAGGGAGAGCAGCGAUGGCUUCCUGGCAUCCUGCCCCACAGCCAUGUAAAUGUUCCUCUAUACGAACGUUCAUUGUUGCCUUCUACAUUCCUCUGCUGACAGUGAAGAGGUCAUGCUAAAUCAAACUGACGGAGAAACUGGACAUCAGCUUAGCCAGGAUGCCCAAAUUAAUACUACUGAAACAAAAGGGGAGGAAUGAUAAGAGCUUGUAGCUGAAUGGAUUCCCGGCAGCUUCCUGACUUGAACUUCAGGAUGAACGUCAAGCGAAAUGCCAGAGCGAACAAAGAUGACCGGGACAUGUUUUCAUGACCCUUCUCUUCCCCAGACUAAUUUAGCAAUGCCCCUUUCCACAACAGUUCACAAGUUGUUCCUGAAGCAGCAGGGGAUUCCAGAGAAACAAGGUCUGCUCUGCCCACCUUGCCCUAUUCACCUUCCUCAUUGCCCCAAGAAUGUUUACUGCCCUACUGAUGACAGCCAGUGAUCAGGGCUGUAUACCAUGGAUGGUGAUAGCUGAACAAACAAACCAAGGGUCUGGUCUUGAUUGCUGAUGUCUUCACAGUUUGGUUUCCCGUUGCUUGUUUGUACAGAUGUAAUGGUUGGUAUUCCCCUUCUUUUAAAUAAUCACAACCAUACUGGAGGGCGGAAGGACAGGACUGAUUUGCAAGGAGUUUGCUCAAGAAGCCCCCACCCUGCUCCUGUGGCUUAGCUUCCGUACGUUCCCUGCUGUGCAACCCACUGCUUUGGGUGGCAACUUCUAUUUCCAUCUUCCCCCCUUCAGCAAUGGAUUUGAUUGUUCACUUCUAAAGAACAGCCUACAAGAACUGUCAUUAGAAUGACCAUUGCAUUUAAUCACAUCUUGUCUGCAGAUUGAAAGAACACUAACUGGCGCUCAAGGGCAACAACAAUACAGAGAGCAUGAAUAAAUGACCACAGCCCAUCCUGCAGCCACCUCCUGCCCCACAUCAUCAUGGUGUCGGCUCUGCCCCACCAAGCAUCCCAGCCUGGCCCCAGGCAUGAACCCAUCACUCAGAACAACCAAAUAUCGGCCCAAGACGGUUUCUCUUCACACAGUGCAUCCCAAGCAAGCCAGAAGAUUGGACACUCAUGGUUUAAAUUCUUCAGAAUGAUGGGGCCAGCAGGAUUCAAGACACACACUGUUGAGGGACAGAGCUCCCCAUCAGACUACUUGUCAUCAUAUCCAAAUGACAGGGAGAAAAAAAAGCUAAUUGUAUGCUCUCCAAUUUUCUCUAUUAGGAAGAUCAAAGGAAUUGCUGCCUUUACUGGCAAAUCUCAAGGAAGAAUUGUGGCAGCCAGGCCAGUACUGGUCUGUGUUGAACUGUAGUCACUCAGAAUAAAUCAGCACUAAUUGCUGUCUCAGGCUGUGAUUCCAGAGGGGCCGCUUAAGCACCAAAUCAUGACCCCGAUUCUCCUUCUAUUGAAGCCAGUGGCAAAACUCUUGUUGACCUCCAAAUGUGCAGGUCUGAGGCUAUACCAUUGCCUGCCUUAAAGCCAACUGCCUUGGCUACCUGUUGGUAGUAGGAGAAGGAAAACAGGGAGGUUACAGUGAUGAUGGACGGCAAUACCUCGGCUUUUUGAUCUCUGCAGGAGCGGGUGGUCCUUCUGCAGCAGCACGGAGCAGAACCUUUUCCUUGCUGGUCUCAGUUCUGCCAUGGGAGCAGUGAAAGGCACAAUGGGAUGAUUUUACAGAAUUUCACUCUAACUGAGCCUUUUCCUGAGUUGCUUGUCACCCCUUUGCUUAGCUGUGCUCCUGUGGCCAGAGCACACUGCAUGAAUCUCCUUCUGCAGCCUUACCGAAAAGGGGGUGUCUGGCAGCUUGGAUUGGUAUCCCUUCCCUGCUUCACACUGAGGCCACAGCAAGGCCUGUUAUCCACAUACUGGGGUGAUCUCCUGGCCCUAUGGCCUUCUGUGGCAUCAGCCAGGCUGACCGCUUCCCCUGAGGUCAAGCAAAUUGAUCUGCUCACCCAAGGUGCUUCCUCCUCUUCUUCUGUGCAGAUCUAGGCAGAUCUUUUUUUUUUUUUUCCUGGAAAAAAAGCCACCCAAAAGAAUGAAGCAAACAUGGGAAAAAAUGUUGGUGUGAUGGCACAAAUGUGGUCUGCAGGAAAGCAAAGCAGACCCCUGUGGGUCAUCUUCUUGUCACUCACCCAUGAGAAAUUCUAUACAGUGACAAAGAGCAUGGAUGCGAGCUGAGCCAAAGGGACUGCAGUGGAUAUGAAGUAUGAAAGCAUGGUCUUCAGUAGUGAGAGAAGGACAGGGCCUGGCAAGGCACACACCUGACUGCUCCUGCCUCACUCCCACCAGGCUCAAGAGCAAAGACAUCACUGUGUCACUGGAGAUAGCAUAGGACGCUACAGGGUGACUUGGCCAAGCAGGGUGCAGAGGCAAAGAGGACUUUCUGAAGUAUGCCUGACUCAAAGCUAAGUGGAUUUUGCUGAAGUGUGUAUGGGAGCUGUUCCAUGGUGGAUUAACAACUGUCCUUGCCGAUUAACACAAAAAAUAUUCUUCAGCAUAUAGGACGUAGAGAGGCGAAAGAGAGCAGAAGAAGGGAAACUACCUUGUGUCUACAAGGUGAGAGCUUGCACACCAACCGCAACUGCAAAACAGCUGAUGUGCUGCAAUUUUAGAGCUUUGUGUGGGAACUGACCUGUUGCCUAGUGGUAAUUUGCUUUCUUCUGUCCAUAAACCUGACUGUUGUUUUUUUUUUUUCCUACUUGACUACAAUGGUGUGAAAAUGUAUUUUGAUUUUGUUCAAGGUGGAGGGGAGCUGGUUGAGCUGGUUCUAUCAAACCAGAAGAGUCAUAUCUAUACACACAGAUUCUCCUGCAGUCCAGUGCUUGACUAACUUAACCUUCAGUGUAGGAUUGAAGAGGCUUAAUUAGGCUGGAGCAGCUUUACAUGAUGCCUAACAGUGCCCUGUCAGAGCCUUCCAGUGACUAAGAGCCAAGUGCUGCAAUUAAGCCUGGACCAGUUGAGAACAGAGAAAACCUGGGAAGGAAGAAGAGCAUGAGGAUGGGCAGUCAGAACAACCACAGGUGGCUUUUACUGCUUCUGGAUAAUGGAGUAUGCUGGCUUCGUAGGUGUGGUAUAUAACUCGCUCCUCUGAUGGGGAAUGGGCACAGCCUGUGAGGCAGCCAUGGAUCCAUGCCCAAGAAGUUACAAUUACCCAGUGCUAUGGGGAAGACCCAAGUGGCCCAUUCUGCAGGUGAAGGUCAGGAAUGCUGCUCUUUCAGGUAGCCUUUACCUUGUCUGUGUGACCAACUGACAAAGAGAAUAAGUAAUUUCUUAGCUUUUCAAUGGUGAACUGCGUCUGUUUUUUGAAUAUCAAUAACUAAGGAAAAAGCUUGAGUCCACUGUGGAUUCUUUAGCCUGACAAAAUCAGGUAUUAGUAUGGGUUGAAAUGAAUGGGGCGACCGUGGCACCUUUCUCGUUGGUGCAGUGAGAACUAUCUGGAGCAGGCUCCUCUCCUGCACAAAACAGGAUGGCCAGUUUGCUGGACUAAAUUUGGCUUCACCCCACCCAGCCCUGUCUGUCCUGUUUAUACCUCCAAACUGUGUUUUCCUUGUGUGAACUUGCCUAAUCAUGUGCAACAAAGUGUACAAAAUAACUCAUGCUGUCAAGAGAAAUAAAUCACUGCUCUUUUGCAUGUUAAAGAAAUGUAUGUGCGUUUUGAUGUGCUUUUUGACACGUCCCUCCUCUCUCCGAUAUGUGAAAUACUUGUGGCUCGGGAGAACUGUUGGUCUGCUGGGGCCGUGUUUGUGCAUCACAGCAGGAUGCCCUCCUUUCACCUGGGCUGUAGGUGCCUUGGUGUGUUGGCAUGAUGCCGAGGGGACCCCUGGCAUUUGGGAACAUGUGACAAGGACAUACGAUAACCACCCUUCCGCACAGGUCUGAAAGAAGGCACUGCCAAGUGAAAAAAAAAAAAAAAAAAAAGAAAAGAGAGUGGGAAGACUACCCAGCUGCUAACACAAUGCAAGGGAAGGCCUUGGCUGCUGUUCAAAGCUGCUCUGAUGGCAGGCUUCUAAGGACUUAAAGUGCAUCAAGGUGUGAACACUGUCAUGGCCAGCCUCAUCUGAUCCAUCUCUUCCCCACCUAUACCUCCUUUUGGCAAGUCAGGUCGAAGAGCCCACUGAUAAGGACCAGACACAAGUCUCAGACCCAUGGCCUCUGAGAGAUGCUCGAAGGUGAACUUGGUGCCAGCGGGAAGCUUUGCAAAUGGCUGCUAAAGUUCACACCUGACUGAGCUGCAGGGCUCUGCCUGACAGCUAUCAGAGGAUGAGGAGAAACGCUUUGUGCUGCUGUUUCUCUCUCCUGUUUCUUGACCAUCUCCUCCAACUGUCAGCAGAGCAAGGAGCACCGUGUUGGGAAAAACGUUUACAAUCUGUAUGAGUGACUAAAAUGAAAAGCCCCAAAGAAGCCAACAGACCUGAGGUGCGGCCUUGGGUGUUUACCGGAGUGCAGCAAUUCUGCUGAUCUGCUGAUCUGUGCUGGGGCACAACACAUACUGCUCUGAGAGCUGAGAGGCCUACGCAAGCAAAAAGUUGAGAUUAAUCGUGCUCCCCCCGGGCUCCAGCCCUCAUGGGGAGGGACCGGCAGCAGGGAUGAGAGGAGAGCCAGGUGCCACGGGGAUUUAAUUCUCGUUCUGUCUGCAGAAUACGCUGAUGAGAGUGGCAGUUUGAGGGAAUGAAGACAUAGACCUGCCAUUUCUGUAAAGACCAUGUUCUUUGCAGGGAUUCUGCAGUGUGAAGAAGAACUGGCAUGGACCCCACUGCAGAACAGCUGUGCACAAGCCCAGUGUCCUCGAGCACCUGCUUUCUUCAAGCACUCAUACCACAAAGUACAAAAUGAGCUUGCAAGAGCUGUGGACAUUUGUCCUGGUCAGGUGCCACCCUGACUGAGUCCAUGCUGGCUCUGCAUGGAGGGGACAUCAGGCUCUAGGAAGCACUAAAUGUACUGGAAGGGAACAAUCUGGGUGUCUUGACUAGCACACAUUUUAUAUGUCAGUGGGCUCCGGUCAGCACUUCUUUUCUCCAGUUCACUGAGACCUUCAGAGAGGCUUCUUGUUGUUCCCAGAAGUAACUGCAGGUUGCCCAACAACGUGAUGUCUGUCUGAAGAAAGACAAAUGGCAGAUUGAUGGAUCGAUCUAUCUACCGGUUAACAUGAUUGUAAAACUAUUUUAAACAAUCAACCUGUUUCUGCUCCAGGAUUGCAGCAGGAAGCAGCUUUGGGAAAAAAGAAAAGUACUUCUAAGAUGAAUGACAUCUGAAUGUACUUAUGCAGGCAAUACCUAGACAAGGGCAACGAGAUGAAUGGGAAAUGCUGGACCAGAGUUUCUGUUCUGGCAUGGAGACGCUUCUCUACUCCCGGCACGCAAAUUUGCCUUGCUGCCUCUUGAUGUUGUGCUCAGAUAGUGCCACUGCUGGUACUUCCCUCUGACAGUAAAAACAUUUCCAUAAUAAUGAUAACAAUAGCAGCCAGAUGGUAAAAUUCUGAAGGAAAAAAAAAAAGAGAGAGAGAGAAUUUUUACAAGCUUUCUGUCUGUUAGGACUGGGAAUAUUUAAUCCGUUCUUUCCAAUGCAAUCUUACAGGAUGGGCAAUGCUUCUUUCCCUUUCUUUGUCUCCCUGUAUCUGUUUUUCCUUCUGCAGUAAAAUGGGAGAAAAUUUGCAGCAAAGUAAGAGCUAGAGAACUAGCCAGAGUAGGUGUUAAUUGGCAUAUAACAGGUCUGUUGUAGGGGUAGGUAUGGAGACUUACGUACAGACUACUGGGAAUUAGGAAAUGGAGCUCCACCUUGCCAUUUACUUCCUGUUUUGUUCUGUGGGGGUUUUCUCUCCCUCUGUUUGUAAUGCUGUUAAAUGAAGCUUGUGGUGCUGUAAGUAAUGACCUUGUUUUUCCUGACUUGAGCCGUGUUCACUUGGCAAAAAAUAGUGAUGCCUGCCCG